CCCCUAAAGCCAACUUUCGGCUUCCGAAAGUCAGGGACAGAGACGAAAGUCUCACAUGUUCGGCCGCCGAACAUUAACUUUCGGCCGCCGAAAGUGUGUUUUCAUCUUGCAGCCUAAAGUGCAACCUUCGGCCUCCGAAAGCAAGGGACAGAGACGAAAGUCCUGUAUGUUCGGCCGCCGAACAUUGGCUUUCGGCCGCCGAAGUUGUAAUGCUCUCUAAGCUAAAUGUUUGGCUUCCGAAAGUGAAGGACAGAGGCAAAAGUCACCUAUGUUCGGCCACUGAACAUUACCUUCGGCCUCCGAAAGUGUGCUUUUAAGUCAGCCUCCGAAGCCUAAAGUUCGGCUUCCGAAAGAGAGGGACAGAGACGAAAGUCCCACAUGUUCGGCCGCUGAACUUGGACUUUAGGCCGCCGAAAGUCCUUUUUCAAAGGAAGUUGUUCUUCACCUCA
rnacentral:lncRNA from 1 species